rnacentral:sRNA from 1 species
GCUGGGCACAGUGGUGCAUGCCUGUAAUUCCAGCAUCUUGGGAAGUUGAGGCAGGAGGAUCACAAAUUCAAGGCCAGCCUUAGCAACUUAGUGAGGCCCUAAGCAUCUUAGUGAGACCCUGUCUUAA